UACGAAGGGGGCUAGCGUUGCUCGGAAUCACUGGGCGUAAAGCGCACGUAGGCGGACUCUUAAGUCAGGGGUGAAAUCCCAGAGCUCAACUCUGGAACUGCCUUUGAUACUGGGUAUCUCGAGUAUGGAAGAGGUGAGUGGAAUUCCGAGUGUAGAGGUGAAAUUCGUAGAUAUUCGGAGGAACACCAGUGGCGAAGGCGGCUCACUGGCCCGAUACUGACGCUGAUGCACGAAA
rnacentral:rRNA from 1 species